rnacentral:tRNA from 1 species
CUGAAAAUGCCUAGAUGAGUGUAUUAACUCCAUAAACA